rnacentral:tRNA from 2 species
GGGUCUUUAGCUCAGUUGGUAGAGCGCGUCGUUCGCAAUGACGAGGUCAGGGGUUCAAUUCCCCUAAGAUCCA